rnacentral:rRNA from 1 species
GAUUGGAAGGGAUGUAUUUAUUAGAUUAAAAGCCAACGCCCUUCGGGGCUCUUUGGUGAUUCAUAAUAACUGGUCGAAUCGCAUGGCCUUGCGCCGGCGAUGGUUCAUUCAAAUUUCUUCCCUAUCAACUUUCGAUGCGAGGGUCUUGUCCUCGCAUGGUUGCAACGGGUAACGGAGGGUUAGGGCUCGACCCCGGAGAAGGAGCCUGAGAAACGGCAACUACAUCCAAGGAAGGCAGCAGGCGCGCAAAUUACCCAAUCCCGACACGGGGAGGUAGUGACAAUAAAUACUGAUACAGGGCUCUUUUGGGUCUUGUAAUCGGAAUGAGUACAAUUUAAAUCCCUUAACGAGGAACAAUUGGAGGGCAAGUCUGGUGCCAGCAAAUCGUCGA